rnacentral:tRNA from 1 species
UGUUUUGAAAACUUAAGAAAGAAUAACUUAUUCUAUUAAUUUAAAAUUAUACUAAAAAUAAUUCAU